UUUCAUGGCGGCUGUACGUGUGGGCACCCUGUGGUGCGCCGAGUGCCAACGUCUCGGUCUGUCAACCCGCGUACAGCUGCCACCAUC
rfam:Pseudomonas putida KT2440 complete genome.